rfam:Triticum aestivum genome assembly, contig: Triticum_aestivum_CS42_TGACv1_scaffold_212879_3AS
UUUCUGCUCCCUCCAUCCGAAAAUACUUGUCAUCAAAAUGGAUAAAAACAUAUGUAUCUAAAACUAAAAUACGUCUAGAUACAUUUCCUUUUAUCCGUUUUGAUGACAAGUAUUUCCGGACAGAGGGAGUAUUUG